rnacentral:rRNA from 1 species
CCAGACUCCUACGGGAGGCAGCAGUGAGGAAUAUUGGUCAAUGGGCGGGAGCCUGAACCAGCCAAGUCGCGUGAAGGAAGAAGGUACUUAGUAUUGUAAACUUCUUUUGUCGGGGAACAAAGGCGGAGACGCGUCUCCGGAUGAGUGUACCCGAAGAAAAAGCAUCGGCUAACUCCGUGCCAGCAGCCGCGGUAAUACGGAGGAUGCGAGCGUUAUCCGGAUUUAUUGGGUUUAAAGGGUGCGCAGGCGGAUUUUUAAGUCAGCGGUCAAAUCGUGGGGCUCAACCCCAUCCAGCCGUUGAAACUGGGGAUCUAGAGUGUGCGAGAGGUAUGCGGAAUGCGUGGUGUAGCGGUGAAAUGCAUAGAUAUCACGCAGAACCCCGAUUGCGAAGGCAGCAUACCGGUGCACAACUGACGCUCAGGCACGAAAGCGUGGGUAUCGAACAGGAUUAGAUACCCGUGUA